rnacentral:rRNA from 1 species
CAGGACGAACGCUGGCGGCGCGCCUAACACAUGCAACUCGAACGAGCGAGAGAGAGCUUGCUUUCUCGAGCGAGUGGCGAACGGGUGAGUAACGCGUGAGGAACCUGCCUCAAAGAGGGGGACAACAGUUGGAAACGACUGCUAAUACCGCAUAAGCCCACGGCUCGGCAUCGAGCAGGGGGAAAAGGAGCAAUCCGCUUUGAGAUGGCCUCGCGUCCGAUUAGCUAGUUGGUGAGGUAAUGGCCCACCAAGGCGACGAUCGGUAGCCGGACUGAGAGGUUGAACGGCCACAUUGGGACUGAGACACGGCCCAGACUCCUACGGGAGGCAGCAGUGGGGAAUAUUGCACAAUGGGGGAAACCCUGAUGCAGCGACGCCGCGUGGAGGAAGAAGGUCUUCGGAUUGUAAACUCCUGUUGUUGGGGAAGAUAAUGACGGUACCCAACAAGGAAGUGACGGCUAACCACGUGCCAGCAGCCGCGGUAAAACGUAGGUCACAAGCGUUGUCCGGAAUUACUGGGUGUAAAGGGAGCGCAGGCGGGAAGACAAGUUGGAAGUGAAAUCUAUGGGCUCAACCCAUAAACUGCUUUCAAAACUGUUUUUCUUGAGUAGUGCAGAGGUAGGCGGAAUUCCCGGUGUAGCGGUGGAAUGCGUAGAUAUCGGGAGGAACACCAGUGGCGAAGGCGGCCUACUGGGCACCAACUGACGCUGAGGCUCGAAAGUGUGGGUAGCAAACAGGAUUAGAUACCCUGGUAGUCCACACCGUAAACGAUGAUUACUAGGUGUUGGAGGAUUGACCCCUUCAGUGCCGCAGUUAACACAAUAAGUAAUCCACCUGGGGGGUACGACCGCAAGGUUGCAAGUCAAAUGAAUUGACGGA